UAGCGAGGGGGGCGAGCGUUGUUCGGAAUUACUGGGCGUAAAGCGUGCGCAGGCGGUUUUGUAAGUCUGUCGUGAAAUCCCCGGGCUCAACCUGGGAAUUGCAUUGGAGACUGCAAGGCUGAGAAUCUGGCAGAGGGGGGUAGAAUUCCACGUGUAGCAGUGAAAUGCGCAGAUAUCAGGAGGAACACCGAUGGCGAAGGCAGGUCUCUGGGCCUGACCUGACGCUGGAGGAGCGAAAGCGUGGGGAGCGAACAGG
rnacentral:rRNA from 1 species